rnacentral:rRNA from 1 species
GACGAACGCUGGCGGCGUGCUUAACACAUGCAAGUCGAACGGAGUGGCGAACGGGUGAGUAACACGUGGGUGAUCUGCCUUGCACUUCGGGAUAAGCUUGGUAAACUGGCUCUAAUACCGGAUAGUGCAAGAUGAGCUCGCGGCCUAUCAGCUUGUUGGUGUGGUAAUGGCCUACCAAGGCGUCGACGGGUAGUCUGCCUGAGAGGGUGUACAGCCACAUUGGGACAGAGAUACGGCCCAGACUCCUACUGGGGGCAGCAGUGGAGAAUAGUGCACAAUGGGCGGAGGCCUGAUGCAGCGACGCCGGGUGGGGGAUGAAGGCCUUCGGGUUGUAAACUCCUUUCGACAGGGACGCGGUACCUGUAUAAGAAGCAACGGCUAACUACGUGCCAGCAGCCGCGGGAAUAC